UACGUAGGGGGCAAGCGUUGUCCGGAUUUAUUGGGCGUAAAGAGCGUGUAGGCGGCCAGACAGGUCAGCUGUGAAAACUCGAGGCUCAACCUCGAGACGUCGGUUGAAACCGUCUGGCUAGAGUCCGGAAGAGGAGAGUGGAAUUCCCGGUGUAGCGGUGAAAUGCGCAGAUAUCGGGAAGAACACCCGUGGCGAAGGCGGCUCUCUGGGACGGUACUGACGCUGAGGCGCGAAAGCGUGGGGAGCGAACAGG
rnacentral:rRNA from 1 species